GAGUUUGAUCGUGGCUCAGGAUGAACGCUGGCGGCGUGCUUAACACAUGCAAGUCGAGCGAAGCGCUUUGGUUAGAUUCUUCGGAUGAAGACCUUUGUGACUGAGCGGCGGACGGGUGAGUAACGCGUGGGUAACCUGCCUCAUACAGGGGGAUAACAGUUAGAAAUGACUGCUAAUACCGCAUAAGACCACAGUACCGCAUGGUACAGGGGUAAAAACUCCGGUGGUAUGAGAUGGACCCCGCGU
rnacentral:rRNA from 1 species